rnacentral:rRNA from 1 species
CCACACUGGAACUGAGACACGGUCCAGACUCCUACGGGAGGCAGCAGUGGGGAAUCUUGCGCAAUGGGCGAAAGCCUGACGCAGCGACGCCGCGUGGGGGAUGAAGCUUCUCGGAGUGUAAACCCCUUUCGACUGGGACGAAUGCCUCGCAAGAGGAGUGACGGUACCAGUAGAAGAAGCCCCGGCUAACUACGUGCCAGCAGCCGCGGUAAGACGUAGGGGGCCAGCGUUGUUCGGAAUUACUGGGCGUAAAGAGCGCGCAGGCGGUCGUACAAGUCGAGUGUGAAAUCCCCCGGCUCAACUGGGGAACGUCGCUCGAUACUGUUCGACUUGAAGGCGGGAGAGGGAAGCGGAAUUCCCGGUGUAGUGGUGAAAUGCGUAGAUAUCGGGAGGAACACCAGUGGCGAAGGCGGCUUUCUGGCCCGUUCUUGACGCUGAGGCGCGAAAGCUAGGGUAGCAAACGGGAUUAGAUACCCCGGUAGUCCACGCCGUAAACGUUGGGCACUAGGUGUGGGGACCUAUCGACGGUUUCUGUGCCGCAGCUAACGCAUUAAGUGCCCCGCCUGGGGAGUACGGCCGCAAGGCUAAA